rnacentral:rRNA from 1 species
GCUUACCAUGCAAGUCGCACGAUGAUCUCCAGCUUGCUGGGGGGAUUAGUGGCGAACGGGUGAGUAACACGUGAGUAACCUGCCCUUAACUCUGGGAUAAGCCUGGGAAACUGGGUCUAAUACCGGAUAUGACUCCUCAUCGCAUGGUGGGGGGUGGAAAGCUUUUUGUGGUUUUGGAUGGACUCGCGGCCUAUCAGCUUGUUGGUGAGGUAAUGGCUCACCAAGGCGACGACGGGUAGCCGGCCUGAGAGGGUGACCGGCCACACUGGGACUGAGACACGGCCCAGACUCCUACGGGAGGCAGCAGUGGGGAAUAUUGCACAAUGGGCGCAAGCCUGAUGCAGCGACGCCGCGUGAGGGAUGACGGCCUUCGGGUUGUAAACCUCUUUCAGUAGGGAAGAAGCGAAAGUGACGGUACCUGCAGAAGAAGCGCCGGCUAACUACGUGCCAGCAGCCGCGGUAAU